rnacentral:rRNA from 1 species
AGCGAACGCUGGCGGCAGGCCUAACACAUGCAAGUCGAACGAACACUUCGGAGUUAGUGGCGGACGGCUGAGUAACACCUGGGAACGUGCCUUUUGGUUCGGUAUAACUCAGGGAAACUUGUGCUAGUACCAAUUGUGCCCUUCGGGGGAAAGAUUUAUCGCCAUUAGAGCGGCCCGCGUCUGAUUAGCUAGGUGGUGAGGUAACGGCUCACCAACGCGACGAUGAGUAGCUGGUCUGACAGGCUGACCAGCCACACUGGGACUGAGACACGGACCAGACUCCGACGGGAGGCAGCAGUGGGGAAUCUUGCGCAAUGGGCGAAAGCCUGACGCAGCCAUGCCGCGUGAAUGAGGAAGGUCUUAGUAUUGUAAAAUUCUUUCGCCGGGGACGAUAAUGACGGUACCCGGAGAAGAAGCCCCGGCUAACUUCGUG